AUGCUUGCUUCGGCAGCACAUAGAUUAAAAUGGGAUUGAAAUAGAGAAGAUUAGCAUGGCUCCUGUGCAAGAUGACAUGCAAAUAUGAAGCGUUCCAUAUUUUU
ensembl:snRNA U6 U6 spliceosomal RNA